rnacentral:rRNA from 1 species
CUACGGGAGGCAGCAGUAGGGAAUAUUGGUCAAUGGACGAGAGUCUGAACCAGCCAUGCCGCGUGCAGGAAGACGGCCUUCUGGGUUGUAAACUGCUUUUCUCAGGGAAGAAAAUGGUCUUGCGAGACAAAUUGCCGGUACCUGAGGAAUAAGCACCGGCUAACUCCGUGCCAGCAGCCGCGGUAAUACGGAGGGUGCGAGCGUUGUCCGGAUUUAUUGGGUUUAAAGGGUGCGUAGGCGGCCUAUUAAGUCAGUGGUGAAAGGUAUCAGCUUAACUGAUGAUGUGCCAUUGAAACUGACAGGCUUGAGUACAGACGAGGUAGGCGGAAUUUAUGGUGUAGCGGUGAAAUGCAUAGAUACCGGGAAGAACACCAGUGGCGAAGGCGCUCUGCUGGGCCAUAACUGACGCUCAUGGACGAAAGCCAGGGGAGCGAAAGGGAUUAGAUACCCUGGUAGUCCACGCCGUAAACGAUGGACACUAGUUGUUGGAAUUAUUCAGUGACUAAGCGAAAGUGAUAAGUGUCCCACCUGGGGAGUACGGUCGCAAGAUUGAAACUCAAAG